GAAGGUACAGCUCAGUGGCAGAGUGAGAGCUUAGAAUGCACGAGGUCCUGGGUUCAAUCCCCAGUACCUCCU
rnacentral:tRNA from 1 species